CGGGUAGCCGGCCUAAGAGGGCGACCGACCACACUAGGAAUGAGACACGGCCCAGACUCAUACGGGAGGCAGCAGUGGGGAAUAUUGCACAAUGGGCGAAAGCGUGAUGCAGCGACGCCGCGUGAGGGAUGAAGGCCUACGAGUAGUAACCUAUUUCAGCAGGGAAGAAGCGAAAGUGACGGUACAUAAAGAAGAAGAACCGGCAAACUAAGUACAGACAGCCGCGGUAAUACGUAGGGAGCAAGCGUUGUCCGGAAUUAUUGGGCGUAAAGAGCUCGUAGGCGGCUUGUCACGUCGGAUGUGAAAGCCCGGGGCUUAACCCCGGGUCUGCAUUCGAUACGGGCUAGCUAGAGUGUGGUAGAGGAGAUCGGAAUUCCUGGUGUAGCGGUGAAAUGCGCAGAUAUCAGGAGGAACGACCGGUGGCGAAGGCGGAUCUCUGGGCCAU
rnacentral:rRNA from 1 species